GACAGAAUCUGUUUCCUUAUCAGAGGAGAUUACAUUUGAUUUUAGAAAGAAAAGUCCAAAAUCCAUCAUCCCUGCAAAGUUUGUGUCAUCCGCAGAAAUAGAUCAAAUGUGAAAGCGACACCAUCAACAAAUAAUGGUAAUCUUGAUUGCUCGCAUCAGGACAGUGGAGCUAUCAGCAAAUGUGGCACAUGGGGUGGAAAUUAACUGAAAAAUGUACGAGUGGCGAUUAUACGAUUGUAGCAUCUGACAAAGUGCAUCCCUUGCUUGUUGAAGCCGGCUCAAGAGUUACGGAGACCAUCCCCAAUUGAAAAGGAAAACCAAAAAUGUCCAAAGGAGCCUGGAGGUCCAGAAAAGCACACAGCAUGUCCUCCAACCAGCGUUAGACUAUCCUGAUGGAAAUACUGGUGCUAACUGCCGUACAGGGUGUGAAAAGAUAGUCAACUGGAGAGAAAUUCCAGGGAAAGUGUCAUUAGGAAUCAAUCAAUUGUUUGCUCCAUUGGCAGACAAGCUGAAUCCAAGAUUGAUUCAGCGUUCAUGUUACCAAGGUGUAGAUAUGCAAGCUGGAAGAUAUCCUAGCACACUUGAAGAAUGUCCAUCUAUGUGAGAUGCUUUGUUUUCAAAUCCAGUCUCAGAUAGUAUACGGCGUGUUGAGUGUUGUUUAGACUAAGAGACUUGCUGAGAGUAGGUCAAUCCUCUGUAAAAUAGCAUAUGAAGAGGCCAAACUUCAGCUGCAGUACCUAAGGCAAGAGACACUGCAUAAAAAGGACCGAGUAGUGACCUCUGGAAUCCGUGCAUCGGAAAUUUUGGAAUCGGAAUGUUUGAAUAUUUUACAUCAAUAUGGUGAAGGACUUGAUCGAGCAACCAGUGGUUGUCAUUCUAUUGGCUCGGCGAAUCUUGAACCAGCUCGUGAGAGUGCUGCAACCUUAAAUCAGGUGAAGCUGUUUCAUUUGGUGACUGAUUAGAGCAACACCAGCUUGGUGUAAAUGUGGCAUGGCAUUGCCUUAUGCCUCUCUCCAACAUGUAAGGAUGUUCUAGUUCAAUUCAGUUUAGAAUGUAACGAAUUUUGUGUUGGUAUCUGUAAGGCUUCUUCAUCUUGGCCAGACUCAAUCUGAUGGCAAAUUUUCCUUCCUAGAAAUGUUUUGCUGUCAUAAUUUGCAGGCGAAAUCUCUAGCCCAUACAAUAUCAAAAUUUCUCAUUAUCUCUCUUUCUGAGCAUCUCGGAGAUUUCGUAAGGAUGCGGAAAGAUAGAGACGUCUGUCAUGUCUCCCCGGUGAGUCAAUGAGGAUGUUGAUUGGGAAAUAAUCUACUUGCACCUGCAUUUCUGCGAUUCAACGGCCUCAAAAUCAUGCCACUCUUAUCAUUUGCAUUAGAAAAUCCACUGACACGUUUCAUAGCCCGGUUUUGUUUGAGUUAGGAAAAUGGUACAACUCAAGAUACAGAACCAAGAGUUUGAGAGACGUGGGCACUUCAAGAUCCCCAAGCUCUUGCCUCUUCAAUUGUGGUUGGAAUCUAUUCCCCUAAGGAUAGUCCAAGCACAGCAUAUAGUUUCAUAAAACACGGAGUUGCCGGUCUUGACACUGAAGCUUCAGACCUCAGAGUGAAGUUACUUUCACAAAGUCCGGUUGAGUUGGAGCAUCUAAUAAAUAAUGCGGUUGAGAGAAAAGAAGGUAAAUUUGGAGACUUUAUGAUUCUCUGGGCUCAUCUUCCGCAAGAUCUUGCGGGUUAUUGUAGGUGAACUUUGUGGUAGACUCAGUGUUGUUGGUAAGGUGAUCUCAGAAGAUGGGAUACGCUUGUGAUUUCUGUGGGGAGGAUAAGUCAGUUGUGUAUUGCCGGUCAGAUGCUGCACGUUUGUGUUUGGCCUGUGACCAACAUGUCCAUUCUGCAAACUCCCUGUCUAAACGACAUUCCAGGACGCUGUUAUGCGACAAAUGCAGUUCGGGUCCUGCUUGGAUUAGAUGUGUGGAAGAGAAGGUCUCUCUUUGUCAUAAAUGUGAUUUGUCUGCUCAUGGAAAUUCUUUGUCUGCCUCCGCUUCUUCGGGGCAUAAGAGGCAAACUAUCAGUUCCUACUCAGGCUGUCCUUCUUCUGCGGAACUUGCAUCCAUCUGGUCAUCUGUUUUGGCUAUUCCCACUUUGGCUGAUGGUUCCACCUCGGAGAAAGCACUGGUUAUGAUGAGUGCAACAGAGAACAACAAAUUACAUUCACAGUGUUCUUUAGUCAGUCCAGAUAUCCUAGACGCAACCGCUACAGUUAGACCUUCAAUUCCAGAAACUAGUGCUUUCUCUGAUAAUCUUGAUCAGCUGAUUGGAACAAACACAUCUGCAAAGCUACCAUAUCCCGGAAUCGAUCAUCUUGGCCUUUCUGGGGACUGUGUAUAUGAGGACUUCAAUCUCGGUGUAGACUUUGUUCUAGAGAACUAUGAUGCAUUGUUUGGUGCGGCUCUUAAUGACUCGGAUAAUCUUUUCGAAAAUGGUGAAGUCAAUAACCUAUUGGGGGAAGAAGACUUGACUGCAGCUAAUCUUUGCAGUCAAGCCAUAUUUGCAGCAGAGGAGAUAUCGGUCAGAUCUGCCAAUUCAAACCAGCCAUCUUGCAGCAACAUUGCAUCUGCUGAUUCUGUUUGGAGCAAUAAAGCGGAAUCAACAAUCUGUUUCACGUCAAGACAGGCUCAUUCAAGCCUCUCAUUUUCUGGCAUAAGUGGAGAUACCAAUAGCGCUGUGGAUAACCAAGACUAUGGUGUCUCUACAUCUGUGAUUCUUACAGGAGAGCCUCAGUGGCGUCCUCCUCCUACCGAUGCUUCCUCACUAUCAUCGAGCCGCAUUGACGCUGUUAUGCGUUACAGAGAGAAAAAGAAGACCCGCAAGUUAGUGAAGUGAACUUCUCCGGAAACGAAAACUCCGCAGACAGCGCUUUCUCGAACAUGAAAGAUUCUUUUUUUCUUGAGUAUAUAGGUAAUCUAAUCUGGCUGAUAUGAGAGUACAGGUUUGAGAAGCGAGUGAGGUAUGCUUCCCGGAAAGAGAGGGCUGAUGUUAGAAGACGGGUAAAGGGGCGUUUCAUUAAAGCUGGUGAAGCUUAUGACUAUGAUCCACUUGACCACACCCAAAGCUAGUGAAGUGUGCUUGCAAUUGACAGAUAGGAACUUAGGUUACUCAGAAGGAGACAAAAAAAUAAAGUUGUAGGAAAAAAUAAAACUACCUCUUCAUGAUACAGGUGAAUGGCCAUUAGUAGGAGAAACUUAUGCUUGAGCAUAAAUCGGAUUCUUGGAAAUGGAGGCAACGAUGAUUCAGCACGCGAAUGGAUCGAUAGUUUUGGCAAGAGCUGGAACAAAGCUUUUAACCUUUUGAUCUUCCAAACCGUACAAUCAUGGUCGAGGUUGGGCUGUUUCUUGCAUCUGCAGAGGCUGAUGAACCUCAGGGUCGGUGUCUGGUUCCUGAAUUCC